rnacentral:rRNA from 1 species
GACGAACGCUGGCGGCGUGCUUAACACAUGCAAGUCGAGCGGUAAGGCCCUUUCGGGGGUACACGAGCGGCGAACGGGUGAGUAACACGUGGGUGACCUGCCUUUAGCUCUGGGAUAAGCCUGGGAAACUGGGUCUAGUACCGGAUACGACUCCGCGGUGCAUGCUGUGGGGUGGAAAGCCUUGUGCGGCUGGAGAUGGGCCCGCGGCCUAUCAGCUUGUUGGUGGGGUGAUGGCCUACCAAGGCGACGACGGGUAGCCGGCCUGAGAGGGCGACCGGCCACACUGGGACUGAGACACGGCCCACGACUCCUACGGGAGGCAGCAGUGGGGAAUCUUGCGCAAUGGGCGAAAGCCUGACGCAGCGACGCCGCGUGAGGGAUGACGGCCU